GACACAGGGAGGUAGUGACAAGAAAUAACAACGCUGGAAAUUGUAUUUCUAGUGAUUGGAAUGAUGGGAAUCCAAACCCCUUUUAGAGUAACAAUUGGAGGGCAAGUCUGGUGCCAGCAGCCGCGGUAAUUCCAGCUCCAAUAGCGUAUAUUAAAGUUGUUGCAGUUAAAAAGCUCGUAGUUGGAUUUCUGUUGGAAGCAGUCAGUCCGCUUCAUUAUGGAGUGUGCACUUGGUGAAUUCUGACAUACUUUUCCUAGUUGGUGUGUUGUUGUGGGGUGCGUCGCGUACACCACACAUGCAAUGAUUAGGAACUGUUACUUUGAGAAAAUUAGAGUGUUUCAAGCAGGCUUAUUGCCUUGAAUACUGCAGCAUGGAAUAACAAGAUAGGAUUUCGGUUCUAUUUUUGUUGGUUUCUAGGACUGAAGUAAUGAUUAAUAGGGACAGUUGGGGGCAUUCGUAUUUAACUGUCAGAGGUGAAAUUCUUAG
rnacentral:rRNA from 1 species